GAGGGUAUAGCUCAGUGGUAGAGUGUGUGCUUAGCAUGCAUGAGGUUCUGGGUUCAAUCCCCAGUACUUCUA
rnacentral:tRNA from 1 species